AUUGAACGCUGGCGGCAGGCCUAACACAUGCAAGUCGAGCGGAUGAGGGGUGCUUGCACCCCGAUUCAGCGGCGGACGGGUGAGUAAUGCCUAGGAAUCUGCCCGAUAGUGGGGGACAACGUUUCGAAAGGAACGCUAAUACCGCAUACGUCCUACGGGAGAAAGUGGGGGCUCUUCGGACCUCACGCUAUCGGAUGAGCCUAGGUCGGAUUAGCUAGUUGGUGGGGUAAAGGCUCACCAAGGCGACGAUCCGUAACUGGUCUGAGAGGAUGAUCAGUCACACUGGAACUGAGACACGGUCCAGACUCCUACGGGAGGCAGCAGUGGGGAAUAUUGGACAAGGGGCGAAAGCCUGAUCCAGCCAUGCCGCGUGUGUGAAGAAGGUCUUCGGAUUGUAAAGCACUUUAAGUCGGGAGGAAGGGCUGUAGGUUAAUACCUUGCAGCCUUGACGUUACCGACGGAAUAAGCACCGGCUAACUUCGUGCCAGCAGCCGCCGUAACAC
rnacentral:rRNA from 1 species